rnacentral:hammerhead_ribozyme from 1 species
ACUCAGCUGACGAGUCCGAAAUAGGACGAAACGUGCGUUCUGGAU